rnacentral:ncRNA from 1 species
ACAUCGCUAACUGGUGGCCGGCUCGCUCAACGCGGCCUUGACCAGUCAUGUCCAUCGACAAGACCACAAGCCGCCCGGAACCCGAGGCGGCUUUUUU